rnacentral:rRNA from 1 species
UGCGUAGGCGGUUCUUUGUGUCCGCUGUGAAAGCCCCGGGCUUAACCUGGGAACUGCAGUGGAAACUAGAGGACUCAGAAUCUGGCAGAGGGGGUGGAAUGCCACGUGUAGCAGUGAAAUGCGUAGAGAUGUGGCGGAACACCGAUGGCGAAGGCAGCCCCCUGGGCUGAGAUUGACGCUCAGGCACGAAAGCGUGGGGAGCAAACAGGAUUAGAUACCCUGGUAGUCCACGCCCUAAACGAUGAUCACUAGGUGUUGGGGAAGCGAUUUCCUAGUACCGCAGCUAACGCGUGAAGUGAUCCGCCUGGGGAGUACGGUCGCAAGAAUUAAAA